AUCUGUGCAGGAUACACAACUGUGACACCAAAAGAAUAAGUCCCAUCAUCUGUCAUCUUGGACUCCAUGGACAUGUUUUUUCUUCCAGCAAAAUGUUAAAUUUUCCAAGCAUGUGGAAAAGAAGAAAUGAACCAAAAUGAAACAAAACAAGCAAAGAAGACACAUUUGUACUGCCUAUGAGAGCAAUCAGGACCACAAUUAUCUAGUGCAGUUUUAUUCAGAUACAUAAAUAAAAGGUAAAUUUGUUUUUUGAAUAAAGUGGUUUGUGCUUAUGAAAACAAAACAUGCCUUUGUAUGUCUCAGAAGACUAAGCAGAGAGAGAGUGCAGAAAAUGUGCAGAAUGGGGUGAAAGAGGGCACCCCCGUGCAUGACAUCCUCUUCAGCAGAUUCACUAAGGUUUCCUGGCCACUGCCAGCCAAGCUCCAAUGGGAUUUGCCUUAUUUGACUGAGAGGUCUGCAAAUUAACAAAGGUUACUUGUACACUGGAGCUGAGCACCCACAGUUCUCAGUAUGAAGAGAAGGAAAGACCCUCCAGAGGUUGGUUUGUGCAUUCCAAGGUAGGAGUGUAAAAGAAAGGAAAAGAGUGUAAAAGACUGUGAAAGGAUCACAGUCAAUGUUACCCCAACGAUCAUUAUUACCAAAACGGACAGGAGAUUAUCCUGAAAUCAUUACCAUGCGAAAUGGACAGGAGAUGUUUCCCCACUUCAAAGCCAGUUUUUUGAGGCAUCCCAACACCUUUAAGCCAUAUCUUUAGCCAUGGAAAGUGUAAGAGCUCAAGUCAGAUUUCAAAGGAUUUGGUAUAUGAAUAAUAGGGAAUUUGCAGCUAAAGCAUGAUUAAGAGCCCUAGGUGGGGCUGCAAUGUGGGGGUAACUUCAGGCAGGCUUUAUUACCUUGCUAGCUGGAUAUAUCCUUGGUUAAUUCCUGCAGUUUGUAUUUGCACUUUACUGUGCCUUUUAUCAGUAUGUGAUCAGAUAUUUCUUUGAAGCAACAUUUUAUUUAUGCACCAAGAACACAGGAAGCAUUUUCCUCUAGCAAAAUCUGAAACCUCUUUUUUCAGCCGGAAUACUGCUUAAAGAGGUUGCCUGACUUGUAGCCUUGGCCCCAGGCCAUGCAGCAGUUUGCUCCACCUGCUAUUUCUAGACUAUAACUUAAAGGAUUUCUUGUCAUCUUUUUACCUCUGACUCACAGCCCCAAAGCAGGCUGUCAAAUAUUUGCAUUAAAACCCCCACGCUAUGUGUCCCGAUCUUCACAUGAGCCCAUAACUACUGAGUAAAGAAGCACUUACUCAGCAUCUCCUCAUGGAAAACUGCUGCUUUUUCCAGUGGUUUCAGUAAGGUUUUGGAGUUAGGUAAGCUCCCUAGAAACCACUCAAAUUUACUCAUAACAUAAAGUACCAAAUUCUUUUCUGAACCUCACAGACUUCUUAGUGUCAGCAAAGCUUCAGCGUGUGUAAGACUGUGUAACAAACCAUGCUAGCAUGUAAUAUUAAUUUUGUGGCCUUCAACCUCUUCCAUCCGACUCUUCAUUUGUUUGCCAUGCUUACCUAUCCUGUGAUGCUUAAACAUAGAAAGAAAUCUCCUUAGGUCAGGGACCUGUCAAUCCGUUAAAGUCUCUAAAGUGCAACACACUUUGAACAGGUCUGUAUUAAUAAUGAAUCACAUUUGCUUUCUAGAUGUGCAAACACUUACUGGAGUGUUGCCCUGAUUUUUUAAGGUUUUUCUAAACCUUCUGAUGUUUACAUUCUUGUAACAAUCUUUCUCACACACUUUAUGUAAAUAACUUAUUGUUUUGCAUUCUUUUAUAGAAGAAAAAAAAUUUGAUAGACUGUUAGUUUGUCCAGUGUCAUUGGAGAGGUGGCACUAUCACCCUCCAAUCCACUGUCAUUUUUGGAAAUCUAUAAAUGUUAAAGUCAGAAAUUAAAAGUACCUUUUUACCUUACUCUUAAAAAGGUAAGAGAGCUGCGUGUCCACAUCGUGUUAUUUUCUGUCCUAUAACAACACUGGAGUUUUCUCUGCUGUGUGUCAGAGGGGGUAGGGACUCGCUGUAUCCAAAGAGCAAAAAGCCACUACUAAGAUGGCAAUGUCAGCUGCUGUAGCCCAGCUGGGACAGGAAGGACAAGACCAACCUUCUGUCUACUAGCAGCAAACUUUUGACCAUAGAAGUCCCUCCACAGCUUCAGGCAAACCAAGGCAUUAAAAUGGGCAUAGAGAACAGCAUGUCCAGUUUUACUGUGGUGGUAUCUAGAGACUCAAGUUUCACUACAUCAAAGAGAAGUCAGACAGUUAUCAGCAUGGAUGUUUUUCCUGAGUGCUGUCUGGAGGCCACCACUGAGAGGUUCUGGCUCUUGAGCCAAGUGAACUGGAGAACCAUCCACUGCCCAUACGUGUUCACAAUCUGCAUGUGACGUGAAGGGACUGACAGAGCUUAUUCAUACAUAAUUCAUACAGCACAUCAGCAGGCAAGCUGGAAUAAACUCCAUGUCUCCAAAUCUAAGUAAUUUAUGCCCUAAACUGCACCCACUCUGCUGUCUCAGUACUUUGCUGUGAUCCCCCUCCAUCCUGUGGCUUCCCACGGAUGCCCACUCUGUGUUACAUUCUGUGAACAUGUCCAGUCGAGCCCAUUUCAGUGGUUUAUUUUUUAUCAUACUUAUACAUUGCUCUGCUUCCUUACUGAAAUACCCACAUGUCAAAAAUUACAGGCAUUUUUUAAGAAGUCAUUGAGAAACCCACGACUCCCAUGCUGGCUAUGUCAAACACUUGUACUUAGGUGCCAAUGAAUGUGUGGUCUUCUCAUUAUGUCCUCAUCAUUAUUUUAACUUCUGUUUCUACAGUGAUAUACUUAUCACUGUAUAAAUGAUCAUUAUAUGUCUUGGGAAAAAGAUAAAUAUAUUUUUGACAGUACUUUUUAAACAUCUACAACUGUACAUUUCCACAAUGCCUCACAAAAGUGCACACUGCUCUCCCAAUCAAACUGCUGUUCUUCACUAGCUAUUAGGCAAUGUAUGCAUACACAUAAUAGAAAUAUAAUAUUAUAGGUCUGAGUAUGUGCUUGCCUCUACAGAAAAAUCUGGAUGGAAAAAUCUCAUUUAUACUCACAGUGACCAA